CGAGUGGCGGACGGGUGAGUAACACGUGGGUAACCUGCCCUUAAGUGGGGGAUAACAUUUGGAAACAGAUGCUAAUACCGCAUAGAUCCAAGAACCGCAUGGUUCUUGGCUGAAAGAUGGCGUAAGCUAUCGCUUUUGGAUGGACCCGCGGCGUAUUAGCUAGUUGGUGAGGUAAUGGCUCACCAAGGCGAUGAUACGUAGCCGAACUGAGAGGUUGAUCGGCCACAUUGGGACUGAGACACGGCCCAAACUCCUACGGGAGGCAGCAGUAGGGAAUCUUCCACAAUGGACGAAAGUCUGAUGGAGCAACGCCGCGUGAGUGAUGAAGGGUUUCGGCUCGUAAAACUUUGUUGUUGGAGAAGAACAGGUGUGAGAGUAACUGUUCACAUCUUGACGGUAUCCAACCAGAAAGCCACGGCUAACUACGUGCCAGCAGCCGCGGUAAUACGCAGGUGGCAAGCGUUGUCCGGAUUUAUUGGGCGUAAAGCGAGCGCAGGCGGUUUCUUAGGUCUGAUGUGAAAGCCUUCGGCUUAACCGGAGAAGUGCAUCGGAAACCAGGAGACUUGAGUGCAGAAGAGGAGAGUGGAACUCCAUGUGUAGCG
rnacentral:rRNA from 1 species